UACGUAGGGUGCAAGCGUUGUCCGGAAUUAUUGGGCGUAAAAGAGCUCGUAGGCGGUUUGUUGCGUCGGCUGUGAAAUCCCGAGGCUCAACCUCGGGUCUGCAGUCGAUACGGGCAGACUAGAGGUAUUCAGGGGAGAACGGAAUUCCUGGUGUAGCGGUGAAAUGCGCAGAUAUCAGGAGGAACACCGGUGGCGAAGGCGGAUCUCUGGGCCGUAACUGACGCUGAGGCGCGAAAGCGUGGGGAGCAAACGGG
rnacentral:rRNA from 1 species